GGGGGCCUGCAGUCGACGAUUCCUACGGGAGGCAGCAGUGGGGAAUAUUGCGCAAUGGGCGAAAGCCUGACGCAGCAACGCCGCGUGCGGGAUGAAGGCCUUCGGGUUGUAAACCGCUUUCAGCAGGGAAGAAGCGAAAGUGACGGUACCUGCAGAAGAAGCACCGGCUAACUACGUGCCAGCAGCCGCGGUAAUACGUAGGGUGCAAGCGUUGUCCGGAUUUAUUGGGCGUAAAGAGCUCGUAGGCGGUUAGUCACGUCGGAUGUGAAAACCCAGUGCUUAACACUGGGCCUGCAUUCGAUACGGGCUGACUAGAGUGUUGUAGGGGAGACUGGAACUCCUGGUGUAGCGGUGAAAUGCGCAGAUAUCAGGAAGAACACCGGUGGCGAAGGCGGGUCUCUGGGCAACUACUGACGCUGAGGAGCGAAAGCGUGGGGAGCAAACAGGAUUAGAUACCCUGGUAGUCCACGCCGUAAACGGUGGGCGCUAGGUGUGGGGAACAUUCCACGUUCUCCGUGCCGCAGCUAACGCAUUAAGCGCCCCGCCUGGGGAGUACGGCCGCAAGGCUAAAACUCAAAGGAAUUGACGG
rnacentral:rRNA from 1 species